GAGAGCAGGGGAGAAAACAACGACAGGCCUGAUCUGAGGGGAGAGCAUCAUUUCCAUACGCACACAACGCGGAGAGGCAGAACAAACGCCUGUGAAAGUGUAAACAUGCGCACGUGACUUCCAGACGACUCUGUCAUUUACUUAUUUAUUUAUUUACCCUGCCGUCGUAAUGUGCGGAUAAGCCAGAACAAGACAAAAGGUAAGGGAGGGGAGCGAAACAUGAACGAUAUAGUCGUUUACAGAGCUUCUAUUUUGGUCGGGGACAGCUCUCUCUCGCUUUCCCGUGAUACUGAAUUAAUCAAAUCCAAAGGACAUCAUCUUGAAACCCCGACGUUCCCCAAAGGCGAGCAUCUCAUUGCCUAUGCAGGCAAAGGAACUUCACAACAACCUAAAAAUACAGCGACUCCUGGCAGCAGGCAGGAGUAACUAGCAAACAUAUGGGAAUAGGCAUUGUGAUUAGAUGCAAGCAGCCGAGCUCUUGUAAACAGACUCGGCUGCCGAAGACAAGACGCGUCCCGGGCUCUUUAAGUGUUGUCACAUCUGCUGCUGUAGCUCGCGUCCGGGUGGCUGUCUCACACUUCCGGGUCAAAUCGGGGUCAUAUGGACUGAAGGUUGCCAGGCUUAGUAGACCAUAAACUAUGAAGGAAUUUCCAGUUACAUCAAGAGUUUUCCCAGUAAACAUUGCUGCAGACAGAACACGAUAUGAUGAUGCUUGGGUAGUUUUGGGUAGGUCUGCAUAUGGACUAAUGGAUUGGGUAGUCAUCUCUAUAUGACAGUGCUUCAGCUGGUAUGGUGCCAAGUAUCCAUGGCUACUCCGAAUAUGACACAACCUGUAUUUCAAUCUGCGAAGAAGGAAAAAACGGAGCGGGGAAGUCGGAAGAAGUUGGGAUGAAUAAGAGAGGAGACUUCCAAGGACACACUUGACUUCCUAAUGGAGUGGCGAUGUUGGCCCGGAAUGAGGUGAAGAGGACAACCAGCCGCAAAGCUCCCGUCUGACAUGUGCAAAGACACGGGGAGUUCGAAGGUCAAGAGCAUCCCAUGUUUGCUAGCCAUUAGCUCAGAAGAAUUUUGAAUUUUUGGGAGGAGAGCAACGCAUCUGUAAAUUAACAGGGGUUCACCAGCACCAAUAAAAUCAUUUAUAUAACCAAUAUUUUAGCUAG